GAAGGUGUAUCUAGAAAGACAAAUUAGAGCUUGAAAAAUAAAGCAUUUCAUUUACAUUGAAAAGUAUAUUGUGUAAUUCAAUUUAAUUUGAUAAUAAAAAUUUAUUAAUUUUUUUUGUUUUUAAAUUUAUUUAAUAAAAUUAAUUUUAAAUUAGGUUUUUUUUGUAUAAUAUAUAGAUCAAAUAAUUUAUAUAAUAGUUAAUUAGUAUUGUAAAAGAAUAUUGAAAUAUAUGAAAAAAUUUUAAAUUAAAAGUAAAUUUUAUAUGUUGUACCUUGUGUAUCAGGGUUUAUUAAUUAAAAGUUAAAAAUUUAAUUUUUCUCGAAUUUGAGAGAGUUAAUUUAUUGUUUGAUUUUUUGUUUCAUAAAAAUUUAAAAUAAUAAAUUGGAAAUGAAAUGUUAUUCGUUCUUGAAUAUAUCUAGUUUUUUAAGAAAUAAAUUAAAUUUAGAUUAUUGAUAAAUAAUUAUUUAUUUAAAUAAUAAAUUAUUAUUAAUAAUUAAUAUUUUAAGGGAUAAGCUUUAAAGUAAGUUUUAUAAUAAUUUUUUAAUUUAAAAAUUGUAGGUUUAGAAAUAGUCAUUAAUUAUAAAAAUGUUAUAAUUUAUUUUAAAUUAAAAAUAAUUUUUAUUAAUUUAAGUUUUUAUUAGAAUAAUUUUUGAAAUUAUAUAAAAAUUAAAAUAAUGAUAAAAUUAGUAUAUUUAAUUGUUUAAAAUAAAUAAAUUGAAAGGUUAAGUUAAGGAACUUGGCAAAUAUAAAUACUCGCCUGUUUAACAAAAACAUGUCUUUUUGAAUAUAAUUUAAAGUCUAAUCUGCCCACUGAAAAAGUUUAAAGGGCCGCGGUAUU
rnacentral:rRNA from 1 species